AGAGUUUGAUCCUGGCUCAGAGCGAACGCUGGCGGCAGGCUUAACACAUGCAAGUCGAGCGGGCAUAGCAAUAUGUCAGCGGCAGACGGGUGAGUAACGCGUGGGAACAUACCUUUUGGUUCGGAACAACACAGGGAAACUUGUGCUAAUACCGGAUAAGCCCUUACGGGGAAAGAUUUAUCGCCGAAAGAUUGGCCCGCGUCUGAUUAGCUAGUUGGUGAGGUAACGGCUCACCAAGGCGACGAUCAGUAGCUGGUCUGAGAGGAUGAUCAGCCACAUUGGGACUGAGACACGGCCCAAACUCCUACGGGAGGCAGCAGUGGGGAAUAUUGGACAAUGGGCGCAAGCCUGAUCCAGCCAUGCCGCGUGAGUGAUGAAGGCCCUAGGGUUGUAAAGCUCUUUUGUGCGGGAAGAUAAUGACGGUACCGCAAGAAUAAGCCCCGGCUGACUUCGUGCCAGCAGCCGCGGUAAUACGAAGGGGGCUAGCGUUGCUCGGAAUCACUGGGCGUAAAGGGUGCGUAGGCGGGUCUUUAAGUCAGGGGUGAAAUCCUGGAGCUCAACUCCAGAACUGCCUUUGAUACUGAGGAUCUUGAGUUCGGGAGAGGUGAGUGGAACUGCGAGUGUAGAGGUGAAAUUCGUAGAUAUUCGCAAGAACACCAGUGGCGAAGGCGGCUCACUGGCCCGAUACUGACGCUGAGGCACGAAAGCGUGGGGAGCAAACAGGAUUAGAUACCCUGGUAGUCCACGCCGUAAACGAUGAAUGCCAGCCGUUAGUGGGUUUACUCACUAGUGGCGCAGCUAACGCUUUAAGCAUUCCGCCUGGGGAGUACGGUCGCAAGAUUAAAACUCAGAGGAAUUGACGGGGGCCCGCACAAGCGGUGGAGCAUGUGGUUUAAUUCGAUGCAACGCGCAGAACCUUACCAGCCCUUGACAUCCCGGUCGCGGAUUCCAGAGACGGAGUCCUUCAGUUCGGCUGGACCGGAGACAGGUGCUGCAUGGCUGUCGUCAGCUCGUGUCGUGAGAUGUUGGGUUAAGUCCCGCAACGAGCGCAACCCCCGUCCUUAGUUGCUACCAUUUAGUUGAGCACUCUAAGGAGACUGCCGGUGAUAAGCCGCGAGGAAGGUGGGGAUGACGUCAAGUCCUCAUGGCCCUUACGGGCUGGGCUAUACACGUGCUACAAUGGCGGUGACAAUGGGACGCUAAGGGGCAACCCUUCGCAAAUCUCAAAAAGCCGUCUCAGUUCGGAUUGGGCUCUGCAACUCGAGCCCAUGAAGUUGGAAUCGCUAGUAAUCGUGGAUCAGCAUGCCACGGUGAAUACGUUCCCGGGCCUUGUACACACCGCCCGUCACACCAUGGGAGUUGGUUUUACCUGAAGACGGUGCGCUAACCCGCAAGGGAGGCAGCCGGCCACGGUAGGGUCAGCGACUGGGGUGAAGUCGUAACAAGGUA
rnacentral:rRNA from 1 species